ACAUGUGUCUCCUUUAGGGGAGACUUGGCAGGGCCGGGGCCUGUGAGCAGGAACGGCGUGAUGGAGAGCAUUAGGAAUUUCCUGCAGCUGGAGAACACACCAAAUACCAGAGCGCGGGAGAGAGCGCCGAGCGAGCAGGAGCCGGAGCCGGCGGGCGGGGGAGGAGGCCAUGUCCAAUAAUCGUUAAUGAAAGCAGAAUGGGAGCUCGGUCGCCUGCCAGCCCAUCGGCCUGGAGAACGGAGCCAGCCCGCCCGCCGAAUGGUUCCAGCGCGCCCAGGGCUCCGGACCGCGCCAGCCCGGCAGCGAGGCGGAGGGCGGCGAGAGGAGCUUCAAAGUGAACCUGUAUUGCAAGCACUCGAGGCCAAGGGAGCUCAAGUGCAACAGCCGCAGCGGCAAAGCCGAGGGUCCCUGCAUCGGCUUCCCCGACUCCCAUGUCAGCAACUGCUCGGCUAAGCGGCACC
rnacentral:lncRNA from 1 species